rnacentral:lncRNA from 1 species
UUUAUCCAUUAUAUAUAUAUUUCUUAACCAAAGUUAUUUCUUGUAAACAUCCAAUUUGGUGAGGGUCUUGUUACUAUUACACUCAAAUAUAUAUAGUGUUGCUCUUUGGAAAGCUUAUUAACAUUUGUAUAUAUUUGCUUUCUCUGAGGAAUUCCAGAACCAACUUUUCUUGUAAGUAUUUUCAAUUUUUCUUUUUAGUUUUGUGUGUGCUCAAUGAU